ACACCUCCACCCCCACCCCCCCGCGCCCGCGCAUCCGUUUCGGGAUUUUGACAGGCUUGAUCUUGUCCAAGUCUUACAGGCAGUGUGGUUUGGCCCCGCGUGAGAUAGAAAAUGGGGGCUGACAGCCUUGGGCCUGGUUGGCUGAACGAUGACGUUGUGCUUCACCACCACUAGGGGACAGUCUCUCGCCUGAUGAUGUCCCAGAACCUAGAAUAAUGCUUGGCACAGAGACACUCCCUAAUUACCUAUACAUGAAUAAAGAAACGAGUGGAUGACAAAUGUCUUUGCUGGGUUUGCAAAGAGGCCCCACUGUCUCAGGCCUCCACCGUGGACAGAGCGUGGCAGGAAACCUGCUGCUGCCCCAGCUGGGCUGAACUGUGGAAGCAGCAGUAUCAGCAGACCACCCAGAUGGCUUGGAUACUUUGAUAAUGCUUGGGGGAAAAAAGCCGCACAAAGGAAAAGCUUCACCCACACAGUAAAUGCUGACCUAGGCUGGACCUGCCUCUGCCAGGAAAGUGAGUCACUGUGGGUUUCUGUGGCAUUCCCCAGCACUGAGGCAAAUGUAGACCUCAGCCAAGGCCCUGGUGUCCCAGGUGAAAUUGUGGAUAUCAAGGGACAGGAGACGCCUGAAAAACUGUAGCCGGGUUCUCACUCCUUGUCAGUGUUCUGUUUUGCCUUGUGCUGUGACCUUAGGAUCUGUUAGUUUUUGUCUUGUUUAUGAGUCUUGGAGCAGGGCUAUUUCAGGAUAUAGAUUGCCUUUGCUACAUUACCAGAUCAAUACACUUGAAAACCCUCAAUGGCAGAUGCUUCCUAUGUCAGCAAUAGAUACAGUUCUCAGAAAUGCUGCAAGGCCUCUUGGACGGGAACCUGAUGCAGGUGGAACAUCUGGGGAGCACUGGCUCAGGAUUUCGGACGGGAACCUGAUGCAGGUGGAACAUCUGGGGAACACUGGCUCAGGAUUUCGGACGGGAACCUGAUGCAGGUGGAACAUCUGGGGAACACUGGCUCAGGAUUUCGGACGGGAACCUGAUGCAGGUGGAACAUCUGGGCAACACUGGCUCUUGGAAGUCCUCCUCUCUCCAGUACUCCCUCCUGUGUGACUUCUUUUGAAAAUACAUCUUUAUGUUUUAGUGUUUAGUUCUCACUUUAUUUUGUGCAUGAGCGUUUUGCCGGCACGUCCUUCUGUGCACAAUUUGUGUGUGGUGCCUGUAGAGGGCAGAAGAGGUCGUCAGAUCCCUGGAACUGGAGUUGCAGACAGUUGUGAGAGGCCAUGUGGGUGCUGGGAUUGAACCCAGGUCCUCCAGAAGAGCAACCAAUGCUCUUAAUCUUUCUGCCUCCACCAUCCAGUGACUUCUUGAGAUGACUUCUGGAAGCAAACAAGACUUCCUGCUCUUUGGCCUUGGCUUACAGACUUUUCUGCUCAGAGAAGAGAUGUUGACCCAGAAGACAUCUGUUUCCUCCAACAGUUAUUCUCAAAAGCAGUGCGUUUGUCUCUACCAUCAGCCCACUGAAUACCUUGCUGCAGGAGGAAGGGAGCAGAAGCACACACGGGGGCGGGACAGCACACCGAGGGGCUGCAGCUGGUGCGGAAACAGGAGGGCAGAGCCCCCCGCCGCCGUUUCUACCCAUGUACACAGUCAAUGAUCUUCCGAGUAUUCCAAACAAGCGGCAAGCACAGGCCAGCGAGACUCAUGAGUGAAAGGUUGCUGCCACUGCUGCCUUGAGUUGAUCAUGGACCUACAUGGUGGAAGAAGAGAACCGACUCCCUCCCGUUAGUCUCUGGCCUGCACAUUUGUGUCACGGCACUUAUGCGCCCCCGCCCCAUACAAUAAUUAA